UACGAAGGGGGCUAGCGUUGCUCGGAAUCACUGGGCGUAAAGCGCACGUGGGCGGGUCGUUAAGUCGGGGGUGAAAUCCUGGAGCUCAACUCCAGAACUGCCUUCGAUACUGGCGAUCUUGAGUCUGGGAGAGGUGAGUGGAACUCCGAGUGUAGAGGUGAAAUUCGUAGAUAUUGGGAAGAACACCGGUGGCGAAGGCGGCGCUCUGGACCGAGACUGACGCUGAGGCGCGAAAGCGUGGGGAGCAAACAGG
rnacentral:rRNA from 1 species